GCCGAAGUGGUGGAACUGGUAGACGCGCUGCGUUCAGGGCGCAGUGGGCGCAAGCCCGUGUGGGUUCGAAUCCCACCUUCGGCA
rnacentral:tRNA from 1 species